rnacentral:rRNA from 1 species
UCGAGAAUCUUCCUCAAUGGCCGAAAGGCUGACGGAGCGACGCCGCGUGUAUGAUGACGCCUUUCGGGGUGUAAAAUACUUUUAAUCGGGACGAAAUACUGACGGUACCGAUUGAAUAAGGGGCUGCUAACCUCGUGCCAGCAGCAGCGGUAAUACGAGGGCCCCAAGCGUUAUCCGGAUUUAUUGGGCGUAAAGAGUGUGUAGGCGGUUUAUAACAUCUCCUGUUAAAUCUUAAGGCUCAACCUUGAGGCUGCGGGAGAUAUGGAUAAACUAGAGUUCGGAAGAGGCAAGUGGAAUUGCUGGUGUAGGGGUUAAAUCCGUUAAUAUCAGCAGGAACACCAAAAGCGAAGGCAGCUUGCUGGGACGACACUGACGCUGAGACACGAAAGCGUGGGGAGCGAAUGGG